UAAGUAGGAAGCCCACCUCAAGAUGAGUGCUCUCC
rnacentral:rRNA from 4 species